rnacentral:rRNA from 1 species
GUAGGUGGCAAGCGUUGUCCGGAAUUAUUGGGCGUAAAGCGCGCGCAGGCGGUUCUUUAAGUCUGAUGUGAAAGCCCACGGGCUCAACCGUGGAGGGUCAUUGGAAACUGGAGAACUUGAGUACAGAAGAGGAAAGCGGAAUUCCACGUGUAGCGGUGAAAGGCGUAGAGAUGUGGAGGAACACCAGUGGCGAAGGCGGCUUUCUGGUCUGUAACUGACGCUGAGGCGCGAAAGCGUGGGGAGCAAACAGGAUUAGAUACCCUGGUAGUCCACGCCGUAAACGAUGAGUGCUAAGUGUUAGGGGGUUUCCGCCCCUUAGUGCUGCAGCUAACGCAUUAAGCACUCCGCCUGGGGAGUACGGCCGCAAAGGCUG